UACGUAGGGCGCAAGCGUUAUCCGGAAUUAUUGGGCGUAAAGAGCGUGUAGGCGGUUCGGUAAGUCUGCUGUGAAAUCCUGGGGCUCAACCCCGGGCGUGCAGCGGAUACCGCCGGGCUAGAGGGUGGUAGAGGCGAGUGGAAUUCCCGGUGUAGCGGUGAAAUGCGCAGAUAUCGGGAGGAACACCAGUAGCGAAGGCGGCUCGCUGGGCCACACCUGACGCUGAGGUGCGAAAGCGUGGGGAGCAAACGGG
rnacentral:rRNA from 1 species